rnacentral:lncRNA from 1 species
AUUUCAUUUGCUCUAUGUAUCAGACAGGUGAAUAGAGAGAAAGAGAAGCUCAAGAGAAGAAGAGAAAACAAGGCUAGUGAAGAAGAAGAAGAAGAACAUGGAGGAAUCAAGAGCUUGGAACCAACACCAUCAUCUUCAUCCUCAUCUCAUCUUCAACAACUUCUCCUCUUCUAUUUCUUGAGGUGGGUUCCAGUUAGAAACCCUAGAAUUUCUAGAAGAUUAAGGUUGUAGAAUCAUAGAUAAAUCAUGAAAAUCCAUGCUAUAUGAUGAAUAUUUCUCUUGAUGUUGUUGUUUUUAUGAAUAUGUGCUUUGAUGUGUUCUUAUGAUUGUUGUGAUUACAUGAUUUGUUGUGGUUGUGGAUAAGUGAUUGGUUGUGGUUAUGAACAUGUAAUCCUUGAUAUAUAUGUGUAUAUGAGAAUGUAGUAUGAUGGGUUUGUUGGAAGAAGGAGUGGGUGUUGUGUUGGAAAUGGAUUAACAGAGGAUAUGGUGUUCUGUGAAUUGGAAAUGUGGAAAUGUGUGUGGACCAAUCGAUUGGUCUCUGUCAUCAAUCGAUUGCACAAUUUUCAAUUCUAAAAAAAUUCUAAUUCGAGAGUCUUGCAUUUUUUCUUGACCACAUAAAAAAAUUGCAGGAAAAAAGAAAAUACUUCAAAUAAAGAUUUCAUGUUCGACAUUCCUCUUAAAGAAUGUCAUUGACUACACAAUAUCAAUAGUACUUUGUCUGCUUCAAUAUAAUUUUGAAUAUCUUUGUUUACCAUUUUCAAAGUGUAAUAAUAUUAUUUUUAAUGCAACGUACAAUAGAAAUCUC